AAAUUGAAGAGUUUGAUCAUGGCUCAGAUUGAACGCUGGCGGCAGGCCUAACACAUGCAAGUCGAACGGUAGCACAGAGAGCUUGCUCUCGGGUGACGAGUGGCGGACGGGUGAGUAAUGUCUGGGAAACUGCCUGAUGGAGGGGGAUAACUACUGGAAACGGUGGCUAAUACCGCAUAACGUCGCAAGACCAAAGAGGGGGACCUUCGGGCCUCUUGCCAUCAGAUGUGCCCAGAUGGGAUUAGCUAGUUGGUGAGGUAACGGCUCACCAAGGCGACGAUCCCUAGCUGGUCUGAGAGGAUGACCAGCCACACUGGAACUGAGACACGGUCCAGACUCCUACGGGAGGCAGCAGUGGGGAAUAUUGCACAAUGGGCGCAAGCCUGAUGCAGCCAUG
rnacentral:rRNA from 1 species